ACGGCGUUCGAAGCGGCGGACGGGUGAGUAAUGCCUGGGAAAUUGCCCUGAUGUGGGGGAUAACCAUUGGAAACGAUGGCUAAUACCGCAUAAAUAGCUUCGGCUCAAAGAGGGGGACCUUCGGGCCUCUCCGCGUCCAGGAUAUGCCCAGGUGGGAUUAGCUAGUUGGUGAGGUAAGGGCUCACCAAGGCGACGAUCCCUAGCUGGUCUGAGAGGAUGAUCAGCCACACUGGAACUGAGACACGGUCCAGACUCCUACGGGAGGCAGCAGUGGGGAAUAUUGCACAAUGGGCGCAAGCCUGAUGCAGCCAUGCCGCGUGUAUGAAGAAGGCCUUCGGGUUGUAAAGUACUUUCAGCAGUGAGGAAGGCGGGUGUGUUAAUAGCACAUUCGUUUGACGUUAGCUGCAGAAGAAGCACCGGCUAACUCCGUGCCAGCAGCCGCGGUAAUACGGAGGGUGCGAGCGUUAAUCGGAAUUACUGGGCGUAAAGCGCAUGCAGGUGGUUUGUUAAGUCAGAUGUGAAAGCCCGGGGCUCAACCUCGGAAUUGCAUUUGAAACUGGCAGACUAGAGUACUGUAGAGGGGGGUAGAAUUUCAGGUGUAGCGGUGAAAUGCGUAGAGAUCUGAAGGAAUACCGGUGGCGAAGGCGGCCCCCUGGACAGAUACUGACACUCAGAUGCGAAAGCGUGGGGAGCAAACAGGAUUAGAUACCCUGGUAGUCCACGCCGUAAACGAUGUCUACUUGGAGGUUGUGGCCUUGAGCCGUGGCUUUCGGAGCUAACGCGUUAAGUAGACCGCCUGGGGAGUACGGUCGCAAGAUUAAAACUCAAAUGAAUUGACGGGGGCCCGCACAAGCGGUGGAGCAUGUGGUUUAAUUCGAUGCAACGCGAAGAACCUUACCUACUCUUGACAUCCUCAGAAGCUUGUAGAGAUACGAGUGUGCCUUCGGGAACUGAGAGACAGGUGCUGCAUGGCUGUCGUCAGCUCGUGUUGUGAAAUGUUGGGUUAAGUCCCGCAACGAGCGCAACCCUUAUCCUUGUUUGCCAGCACUUCGGGUGGGAACUCCAGGGAGACUGCCGGUGAUAAACCGGAGGAAGGUGGGGACGACGUCAAGUCAUCAUGGGCCCUUACGAGUAGGGCUACACACGUGCUACAAUGGCGCAUAACAGAGGGCGGCCAACUUUGCGAAAGUGAGCGAAUCCCAAAAAGUGCGUGCGUAAGUCCGGAUUGGAGUCUGCAACUCCGACUCCAUGAAG
rnacentral:rRNA from 1 species